AUUGAGAUGUCUGAUGGAAAGUGGUAAACUGUAAAUUUACUAAGGGAUUUAAAUCCUCUCAAUA
rnacentral:tRNA from 1 species